UGGGGAAUAUUGGACAAUGGGCGAAAGCCUGAUCCAGCCAUGCCGCGUGUGUGAAGAAGGUCUUCGGAUUGUAAAGCACUUUAAGUUGGGAGGAAGGGUUGUAGUUUAAUACGCUGCAAUCUUGACGUUACCAACAGAAUAAGCACCGGCUAACUCUGUGCCAGCAGCCGCGGUAAUACAGAGGGUGCAAGCGUUAAUCGGAAUUACUGGGCGUAAAGCGCGCGUAGGCGGCUUGAUAAGAUGGGUGUGAAAUCCCCGGGCUUAACCUGGGAACUGCAUCCAUAACUGUCUGGCUAGAGUACAGUAGAGGGUGGUGGAAUUUCCUGUGUAGCGGUGAAAUGCGUAGAGAUGGGAAGGAACACCAGUGGCGAAGGCGACUGACUGGCUCGAUACUGACACUGAGGUGCGAAAGCGUGGGGAGCAAACAGGAUUAGAUACC
rnacentral:rRNA from 1 species